GGACAACAAGAAGAACCGGAUUGUACCGCGGCAUGUGUGCCUGGCGGUGAGAAAUGAUGAGGAGCUUGGAAGGCUGUUGGGUGGUGUUACUAUUGCUCACGGUGGAGUCCUCCCCAGCAUUAACCCUGUUCUGCUGCCAAAGAAGACUGGCAAGGAGGGGACUGAGCCCAAGUCCCCAAAGAAGGCUACCAAAUCGCCCAAGAAGGCUUAAAUAAGUUAUCGAGUUUUCUAAUGUAUGUAUGUAAUUUCCUAGG
rnacentral:misc_RNA from 1 species